AACUUUCAACAACGGAUCUCUUGGCUCUCACAUCGAUGAAAAACGCAGCGAAAUGCGAUAAGUAAUGUGAAUUGCAAAAUUCAGUGAAUCAUCGAAUCUUUGAACGCAGAUUGCGCCUUUUGGUAUUCCGAAAGGCAUGCCUGUUUGAGUGUCUU
rnacentral:rRNA from 1 species